GCUGAUUUGAUCCGUAAUGGGUUACGGCGGUGGCUUCAAACCACUGGGGCUCUCGCGGGCCAGGAGCUCGAUUCUCCCUGAUUAGC
rnacentral:tRNA from 1 species